UGCACGGUGGUGCAGUGGUUAGCAUGCUGCCUCAUAAAAUGGCAGUUCUGGGAUUAAGUCCUGGCCGGCCAG
rnacentral:tRNA from 1 species